rnacentral:rRNA from 1 species
UGGGGAAUUUUGGACAAUGGGCGCAAGCCUGAUCCAGCAAUGCCGCGUGCAGGAUGAAGGCCUUCGGGUUGUAAACUGCUUUUGUACGGAACGAAACGGCGAGCUCUAAUACAGUUUGCUAAUGACGGUACCGUAAGAAUAAGCACCGGCUAACUACGUGCCAGCAGCCGCGGUAAUACGUAGGGGGCAAGCGUUAAUCGGAAUUACUGGGCGUAAAGCGUGCGCACGCGGUUAUGUAAGACAGAUGUGAAAUCCCCGGGCUUAACCUGGGAACUGCAUUUGUGACUGCAUAGCUAGAGUACGGUAGAGGGGGAUGGAAUUCCGCGUGUAGCAGUGAAAUGCGUAGAUAUGCGGAGGAACACCGAUGGCGAAGGCAAUCCCCUGGACCUGUACUGACGCUCAUGCACGAAAGCGUGGGGAGCAAACA